GCAGGCUAGAACUCCAGUGUGAACUUGAGUUGAAGGGUCUGUGAUGGGUGAGUGAGUCCGCAAGAGAGCAGGGAUACACAAGUAGUCCAUGGAGGACCCCAUGCUGGAACAGGUGGAUGCCUGUAGGAGGAUGUGACGUGACCCCGUGAGAAGCCCAUGCUGUAGCAGGAAUUACUGUAACUGGAACCACCCAACCUAAGCCUUACAAGGGAAGAAGGAGGAGAAGCCUUACGAGGAGAAGCCUUACAAGAGGCAGUUGCAGUGCAGCAGUGACCUGACCUGAGUUGGCUUUGGUGCCCACUAACUCCCCACAUACGCAACCUCUCCUGUCCUGAGUGACCAUAACAGAUGGAGCCCAAAGUCAUGGACUACAUAAAUUUAACAGAUGUUUUGUGGACAUUAUGUGGACAGGGGUGGUCCAUAGGCUAAGGGAACAAUGUCUUUGUGUUAUAUCAAAGACUCGGAAGGGAAGUGGUGGUUAAUGAGGUUGUAUUGAACAGUGUGGGACCUGAGCAUGAUGUAAAUGGGAUGGAAUAUGCUGGUUUCAGCAUCAGUAGAGUUAAAUUUCUUCAUAGUGGCUGGUAUGGGGCUGUGUUUUGGAUUUCUGCUGAACACAGGUUUAUAAUACAGAUGUUUCUGUUAUUGCUGGGCAUGGUUUGAACAGAACCAAGGCCUUUUCUGCUUUUCAUGAUGCCACACUGGAAAGGAAGUUGUGGGGUGUAUUGAAGACUGGGAGCAGACACAGCCAGGACAGGUGACCAUAGCUGACCAAAGGGAUAUUCCAGGCCCUAUGACAUCAUGAUCAAUACAUAAAGUGUAAGGAAGAAAGGGGAACUGGGGGAGGACGUUUGGCAUGGUGGCAUUUUUAUCUUCGUAAGUCACCGUUACACGUGAUGGGGCCCUGCUCUUCUGGAAAUCUGCCUGCCCAUGAGUAGCAAUUAAUUAGUUCCUUGCUUUUCUUUGUAUGCUUGGCUUUUGCUUUCCCUAUUAAACUGUCUUCAUCUCAACCCACGAGUUCUCUGGCUUUCACCCUUCCAAUUCUCUCCCCAGUCACACAGGUGGGGGAGUGAGCAAGCGGCAGCGUGAGGCUUGAUUGCUGACUGGGGUUACACCACGACAGUCAUAGAUUGAUGUUUCUUUCAACAUCAGUUUUAACCAUUGACAGUGAUGAUGAUAGAUGAUAUAUACCUUUCCCCAUGGAAAGACACAAAUUCACAAUGCAUUUCCUGCCCUGCAUUCCUAAGAUUGCCCAUCACAUCCCUUAUCAUCUAUGCUGCCACUUUUAUUUUAAAAACUUGCCCACCCAUAACCACUACCGUCAUCCACCUACUCUGCAUCAGCUUCAACUAUCUCUUGGGACCUCCCAAACACACAUAUGCACAAAACAAACCAACGCAGACCUGAUGAGUAUUACCAAUCUUCUGUCUCAUUUUUCUCCUUGCAGUAGAGCAUUUUCCAGAGGGCAGGAUGGGGCUAGGGAGCGUGCCUGAAGAGCCAGAAAAGCAAAUGGGAAUGUUGUGUACCUUAAGAAAAGGUGUCUUUUUAAAAUCUUGUGGCAAGGGUACGGAAGGAUAGGAUUGAGAGUGUUAUCCUGGGUUUAGCUUCCAAAAAAAAAUAUUAAAAAGAUGAUUUUCCAGA